GUGCCAGCCGCCGCGGUAACACCCGCAGCUCGAGUGGUGGUCACUUUUAUUGAGCCUAAAGCGUUUGUAGCCGGUUUUGCAAAUCUUCAGAUAAAUUCCUCUGCUUAACAGAUGAUCUUCUGAAGAGACUGCGAGACUUGGGACCGGGUGAGGUUGAAGGUACUUCCGGGGUAGGGGUAAAAUCCUGUAAUCCUGGAAGGACGACCGGUGGCGAAGGCGUUCAACUAGAACGGAUCCGACGGUGAGGAACGAGGGCUAGGGUAGCAAACCGGAUUAGAUACCCGGGUAGUCCUAGCUGUAAACACUGCCCACUUGGUGUUGCCCCUCCGAUGAGGGGAGGCAGUGCCGGAGCGAAGGUGUUAAGUGGGCCGCUUGGGGAGUAUGGUCGCAAGGCUGAAACUUAAAGGAAUUGGCGGGGGAGCACCGCAACGGGAGGAGCGUGCGGUUUAAUUGGAUUCAACGCCGGAAAACUCACCGGGAGCGACCUUUGGAUGAGAGUCAGCCUGAUGAGCUUACUCGAUAGAAGGAGAGGUGGUGCAUGGCCGUCGUCAGCUCGUACCGUAGGGCGUUCACUUAAGUGUGAUAACGAGCGAGACCCCCAUCUCUAAUUGCUAACGUGCAUUCGCGUGCACGCGCACUUUAGAGGGACCGCCCAGUGCUAAACUGGAGGAAGGAGGGGUCGACGGCAGGUCAGUACGCCCCGAAUCUCCCGGGCAACACGCGCGCUACAAAGGGCAGGACAAUGAGUUGCCACCUCGAAAGGGGGAGCUAACCUCGAAACCUGUUCGUAGUUAGGAUUGAGGGCUGUAACUCGCCCUCAUGAAUGUGGAUUCCGUAGUAAUCGCGGGUCAACAGCCCGCGGUGAAUAUGCCCCUGCUCCUUGCACACACCGCCCGUCAAACCAUCCGAGCUGGUGCUGGAUGAGGGUAUGCUCUUAUGGGCAAACUCAAAUCUGAUGUCGGUGAGGAGGGUUAAGUCGUAACAAGGUAACC
rnacentral:rRNA from 1 species